rnacentral:rRNA from 1 species
AGAGUUUGAUCCUGGCUCAGAACGAACGCUGGCGGCGCGUUUUAAGCAUGCAAGUCGAGCGGCAAGGGUCUUCGGGCCCCUAGAGCGGCGGACGGGUGAGUAACACGUGGACAAUCUGCCCCCCGGCCGGGGAUAGCCCAGGGAAACCUGGAUUAAUACCGGAUGAGACGGGACCCGCGGAGGCGGGAUCCGGGAAAGGCGCUGCGGCGCCGCCGGGGGAUGAGUCUGCGUCCCAUUAGCUUGACGGCGGGGUAACGGCCCACCGUGGCGACGAUGGGUAGCCGGCCUGAGAGGGUGGACGGCCACAUUGGAACUGAGACACGGUCCAGACUCCUACGGGAGGCAGCAGCUAAGAAUCUUCCGCAAUGGGCGAAAGCCUGACGGAGCGACGCCGCGUGAACGAAGAAGGCCGUGAGGUUGUAAAGUUCUUUUCGGGAGGGGGAACGACCGUGGCAGGGAAUGGCCGCGGGAUGACGUGAAUCCCGGAAUAAGCCCCGGCUAACUACGUGCCAGCAGCCGCGGUAACACGUAGGGGGCGAGCGUUGUUCGGAAUCAUUGGGCGUAAAGGGCGUGCAGGCGGUCCUGCAAGUCCGGCGUGAAAGACCCCGGCCCAACCGGGGGGGCGCGCUGGAAACUGCAGGGCUUGAGUACAGGAGGGGAUGCCGGAAUUCCAGGUGUAGGGGUGAAAUCUGUAGAUAUCUGGAGGAACACCAAUGGCGAAGGCAGGCAUCUGGCCAUGUACUGACGCUGAGACGCGAAGGUGCGGGGAGCAAACAGGUUUAGAUACCCUGGUAGUCCGCACAGUAAACGAUGUGCACCAGGUGUUGGUCAUAAACUGAUCAGUACCGCAGCAAACGCGAUAAGUGCACCGCCUGGGGAGUAUGCCCGCAAGGGUGAAACUCAAAGGAAUUGACGGGGGCCCGCACAAGCGGU